GUAGAACUUAUUAUUGUUGAUAUUGAUAAUUGAGAAUUAAUAACUUUUAAGAUUUGUUUCCCUUCCUUUUUGAUGUUCUACAUAAAUUUGUUAUCAAAAUUUUUUAAUGUUUUUACUUGUGGAAAUCACCCAGAGCAUUCAAUAUGAAACCUUAGUAUCUUCUAAUUCUUAUUAUGUUGGUGCAUCUAGGACUCAUGCUAGUAACUCUUCCAUACAGUGUUUUCAUUGUCAUGAUAAAGGCCUUGCAUCAGUAGUCCAUUGUAUGAGUUUGACUGGCUAUAAGCCACUGUAGAUUUAUUGUUUUGGAUAGCAAGGUGUAAAGUGUAAUCUAAGUGGACUUUGGGCAUGGUAUUGUACUUUUCCAUUCAAUUUUUUCCUUCAUUUCCUUGAUAUAUUGAGUUUGCUUUUUUCUAUUUUCUUUUGCAAACAGAGGCGACUUGGAAAUGUAUCAG
rnacentral:misc_RNA from 1 species